rnacentral:rRNA from 1 species
AUUGAACGCUGGCGGCAGGCCUAACACAUGCAAGUCGAGCGGAUGAAGGGAGCUUGCUCCUGGAUUCAGCGGCGGACGGGUGAGUAAUGCCUAGGAAUCUGCCUGGUAGUGGGGGAUAACGUCCGGAAACGGGCGCUAAUACCGCAUACGUCCUGAGGGAGAAAGUGGGGGAUCUUCGGACCUCACGCUAUCGGAUGAGCCUAGGUCGGAUUAGCUAGUUGGUGGGGUAAAGGCCUACCAAGGCGACGAUCCGUAACCGGUCUGAGAGGAUGAUCAGUCACACUGGAACUGAGACACGGUCCAGACUCCUACGGGAGGCAGCAGUGGGGAAUAUUGGACAAUGGGCGAAAGCCUGAUCCAGCCAUGCCGCGUGUGUGAAGAAGGUCUUCGGAUUGUAAAGCACUUUAAGUUGGGAGGAAGGGCAGUAAGUUAAUACCUUGCUGUUUUGACGUUACCAACAGAAUAAGCACCGGCUAACUUCGUG